UACAGAGGUGGCAAGCGUUGUUCGGAAUUACUGGGCGUAAAGGGCGCGUAGGCGGCCAUCUAAGUCAGACGUGAAAUCCCCCGGCUUAACCUGGGAACUGCGUCUGAUACUGGAAGGCUUGAGUAUGGGAGAGGGAUGUAGAAUUCCAGGUGUAGCGGUGAAAUGCGUAGAUAUCUGGAGGAAUACCGGUGGCGAAGGCGGCAUCCUGGACCAUUACUGACGCUGAGGCGCGAAGGUCAGGGGAGCAAACGGG
rnacentral:rRNA from 1 species